UUCAGGUGUACAAUAUAGUGGUUCAACAAUCUAUCCAUACAUACAUCACACAGUGCUCAUCACUGACAAGUGCACUCCUUAAUCCCCAUCACCUAUUUUACCCAUUUCCCCCAUCCCUCCCCUCUCGUAACCUCAAUUUCUCUGGUAGUGACCAGGGAUGCUGCCAAUCAUUCAACCAUGCACCACACACCCACCCCCACAACAAAGAAUGCUAAUUUCUUGGUUUGGAUAAAUGUACCAUGCUUAUGUAAGAUGUUAGCGUUAGAGGAAACUUGGUAAAAGGUAUACAGGAACACUGUACUAUCUUUGCAACUCCUAUAUAUCUGAAAUUAUUUCAAAAUAUAUAAAUAAAGCUUAUACUUAAGGGCAACAUACAGCUUCAGAGUCAAACAAUCGAUAUUUUCAUAAUUUAUUUCUAUUACAGUGUACUAUGUACUAUAGCUGAAGUAUUGUUUUGAUUUUUUGCAAAUUACUUGAAUCAAUGAAAUUUAUAUUGCCAGUGAUACAUGUUGACAUUUUUGAGACUAAUAACAUACUUUCAAAUGUCUUCAAAGGGGUCUUUAAUCAUCUUACCUAAAAUACUUCCUCUGUUGAUCAAUCUUGUUUUUUCUUUCUUUGUUUUCCAGAGAAUUUGUUUUCUGUAAUAAUUUUGUUCAUUUGUUGAGUGUUGCCUUUUGGAAUAUAUGCUCCCUGAAGGCAGGGGCUUUCUUGUACCUCUAGGUCCAGAACUGUCACAUUAGAGAUGGAUACUUAAUAAAUAUUUGUUGAGUGAAUUAUCUGUAUCUGUGUUGCAUCUUCCUCUUAAGUGGUAUUCAAAGGAUGGGGCUUCUUUAAACCCACUGGGCUGUGAAGAUAGAAGUCCCAACCAUAGUAUUUAACUUAACCUUGAUGAAAGUAACUCCUCUUUCUUAAGUAUAAAGAUGUAUUUGUCUACAUAUUUAAACUUUUUCACAGCUAAAGACAAAUCCUUUCCUUUCUGCUGGGAAUGCUGGGUAAGGAGAUAAGGUAGAUAUCUUUGAUUUUAUACUUUCCUGUCAGAUCUUUCUGAUUUCUCCUAGAAAGCUUUUACUUCACCUGAUGAAAUGUUCUUCAAACCAACCGCCUUUCAUUUGAUAGGAUUUGGACCAUUUCCAGAACAAUUUAUAAGAGUUCCUGUCCAAUUAAAUUCUUAGGUAAAAUGUUCCCAUUUGAUUCAGAUUAUUUUCAAACAUAAAAUUUGUGAUAAGCAUCAAAGGUAGAAAUUGGCAAGCACAUGCCCAUCUCUCACAUGGUAGCACCUGAUAGAUUAUUGAGUUAUUUGUUGACCUCAGUGGUGGCACAAACGAAAAAAAUCAUCAAUCCCACCCAGGAAGUGUGGAAAGGAUGGGACCCUUAGUCUGUGUUUUAAAGAAAGAAAAACAGGAGCAGUGAGCCCUAAAUUGUAAAUGUUUCCACAAUAUUCCCCGUGUAAGAUACAGAUAGAAAAUUGAUUCACUUUGAUAAUAAGAUCUUAAAGUGUAUCUAACCUCCCCCUACUUAGAAAACUUGUUUUCUACAGAAAAUCGCAGUUUUUUCUUACCGUUGUGUAUGAAGAGGAUGUAAAACAAAUAAAUGAAAAUAAACCCCAGGUUAUUCCAAACCAAAGUAACCAUUUUGCAUCUUUCUCAAAUACUAAAUACUUGGUGAAUCUAGGUGCAUACAUAUAUUUAGGUACUGAGACAUAAAAAACUGUUGGUGAUUAUCAAUGUACCUACCUAUUGUAUUUUUCUUGUCCUAUAAUAUCUCCACAGAUUCUAUUAUUUGGUCAGAAUCAAGACUGAAAGCUGUUUCACAACAAAGUUUAGAAAUGAAAAUUCCAUGGAGAUGUUGAGAACACAAAGCUGUGGAGUCCUAUUGGUUUAAAUUAAUUAUGUUCUAUGCUCCUAUCAUAUCUACCUUUAACUGAUGGUUUACCGACAAUACCAGUUCAUCAGAGUGAAGGUGUACCACACAGUUGACCAUGUUUUAUGGUGGAAGGAAGCAUAGCUUACUUGGAAAAGUCCAUCUGAAGAAAGAGCUUGGUGAAGAAUCAUUUGCUCCUGAAAGUAUGAGGGAACUGAGCUGCAAGAGGAUAAAUAAGCUACCAUAGUCAUGAGAGGUCAGUCUGGCCUACAUGGAAUCUUCAUGGUCACAUGUGUCUAAAUGAACUAAUGUCUAUUGCUGAUAAAUGAUUCUGGUCAUCAGCUACAUGCUAUUUCUUUUCUAUCUUCCUAUUCAUUUUGUAGGACAAGGCUGAUUCUAAGGAUUGGGGUUUUGACACAGAAGAUAAAGAUUCAGACUCAUACCUUGCCAUUCUCUGAAAAUGAACUUGUUGCCUACAGAAAUAGUCUUAAUUUCUGAUCAUCACUAUCCCAACCUAUCCAUGGUCUAAAGCCUUGUCCCAUAUAAAGAUUCAUUUGGAGGGCC